rnacentral:rRNA from 1 species
GGUGUUGAAGGCCCUGCAAAGCAGCAUCGCGGUGGCGGAGCGUCGUUUGCGACGCCCAACACACAAAACAAGCGGUGAGUGCUUUGGGGUGGGGUGACUGCGUACCUUUUGUAUAAUGGGUCAGCGACUUAUAUUCUGUAGCAAGGUUAACCGUAUAGGGGAGCCGAAGGGAAACCGAGUCUUAACUGGGCGUUAAGUUGCAGGGUAUAGACCCGAAACCCGGUGAUCUAGCCAUGGGCAGGUUGAAGGUUGGGUAACACUAACUGGAGGACCGAACCGACUAAUGUUGAAAAAUUAGCGGAUGACUUGUGGCUGGGGGUGAAAGGCCAAUCAAACCGGGAGAUAGCUGGUUCUCCCCGAAAGCUAUUUAGGUAGCGCCUCGUGAACUCAUCUUCGGGGGUAGAGCACUGUUUCGGCUAGGGGGUCAUCCCGACUUACCAACCCGAUGCAAACUGCGAAUACCGAAGAAUGUUAUCACGGGAGACACACGGCGGGUGCUAACGUCCGUCGUGAAGAGGGAAACAACCCAGACCGCCAGCUAAGGUCCCAAAGUCACAGUUAAGUGGGAAACGAUGUGGGAAGGCUCAGACAGCCAGGAUGUUGGCUUAGAAGCAGCCAUCAUUUAAAGAAAGCGUAAUAGCUCACUGGUCGAGUCGGCCUGCGCGGAAGAUGUAACGGGGCUAAACUGUGCACCGAAGCUGCGGCAGCGACGCUUAUGCGUUGUUGGGUAGGGGAGCGUUCUGUAAGCCUGCGAAGGUGUCCUGUGAGGGAUGCUGGAGGUAUCAGAAGUGCGAAUGCUGACAUAAGUAACGAUAAUGCGGGUGAAAAGCCCGCUCGCCGGAAGACCAAGGGUUCCUGUCCAACGUUAAUCGGGGCAGGGUGAGUCGACCCCUAAGGCGAGGCCGAAAGGCGUAGUCGAUGGGAAACGGGUUAAUAUUCCCGUACUUGGUGUUACUGCGAAGGGGGGACGGAGAAGGCUAUGUUGGCCGGGCGACGGUUGUCCCGGUUUAAGCGUGUAGGCUGGUUUUCCAGGCAAAUCCGGAAAAUCAAGGCUGAGGCGUGAUGACGAGGCACUACGGUGCU